rnacentral:rRNA from 1 species
GAUGAACGCUGGCGGCGCGCCUAACACAUGCAAGUCGAACGAUUAAAGCACCUUCGGGUGUGUAUAAAGUGGCGAACGGCUGAGUAACACGUGGGCAACCUGCCCCUUUCAUUGGGAUAGCCACGGGAAACCGUGGAUAAUACCGAAUACUUCGAGACUUCCGCAUGGAAGACUCGAGAAAGCUCCGGCGGAGAGGGAUGGGCCCGCGGCCUGUUAGCUUGUUGGUGGGGUAACGGCCUACCAAGGCAAUGAUGGGUAGCUGGGGUGAGAGACCGACCAGCCAGAUUGGGACUGAGACACGGCCCAGACUCCUACGGGAGGCAGCAGUGGGGAAUCUUGCACAAUGGGCGAAAGCCUGAUGCAGCGACGCCGCGUGCGGGAUGAAGGCCUUCGGGUUGUAAACCGCUUUCAGCAGGGACGAGGCGAAAGUGACGGUACCUGCAGAAGAAGCCCCGGCUAACUACGUG